rnacentral:rRNA from 1 species
GACGAACCGUGCGAACGUUGUUCGGAUUCACUGGGCUUAAAGGGCGCGUAGGCGGGCUCACCAGUCAGGGGUGAAAGCUCCCGGCUCAACCGGGAAAGUGCCUUUGAUACUGUGAGUCUCGAGGGAGGUAGGGGCACGCGGAACUUCCGGUGGAGCGGUGAAAUGCGUAGAGAUCGGAAAGAACACCAACGGCGAAAGCACUCUGCUGGGCCGACACUGACACUGAGAGACGAAAGCUAGGGGAGCGAAUGGG